rnacentral:rRNA from 1 species
ACGCACGCUGGCGGCGUGCUUCACACAUGCAAGUCGAACGGAAAGGCCCUGCUUUUGUGGGGUGCUCGAGUGGCGAACGGGUGAGUAACACGUGAGUAACCUGCCCUUGACUUUGGGAUAACUUCAGGGAACUGGGGCUAAUACCGGAUAGGAGCUCCUGCUGCAUGGUGGGGGUUGGAAAGUUUCGGCGGUUGGGGAUGGACUCGCGGCUUAUCAGCUUGUUGGUGGGGUAGUGGCUUACCAAGGCUUUGACGGGUAGCCGGCCUGAGAGGGUGACCGGCCACAUUGGGACUGAGAUACGGCCCAGACUCCUACGGGAGGCAGCAGUGGGGAAUAUUGCACAAUGGGCGGAAGCCUGAUGCAGCAACGCCGCGUGCGGGAUGACGGCCUUCGGGUUGUAAACCGCUUUCGCCUGUGACGAAGCGUGAGUGACGGUAAUGGGUAAAGAAGCACCGGCUAACUACGUG